ACAUAUAACCGGUAAACCUGUAUAAUCCCAUACAUGAUCAACAACAUGCAUAAAAAUUUUAAACUUUUCUUUUAUCAUCCAACUCAACCUGAACAUUCAUGAACAUAGUCAUAAUCAUGACCCCUCUGUGGGAUCUCAACAAUGCCCCAAAGAGCACUAUAACAUGAGAUGAGUUGGCUUACAUCUAUAUCAUCAAAUAUCUAAGAUCAUGCAUCAACAAGGGAUUACAAUACUCAUAGGGUCAAGCACAUCUAUAACCUCAAUAUACCUCAUUACAUAACAUACUGAAUCUCUUACAUUACAUUAGUACAAUUGUCAUGUCCACAAUCUAACUAUUACAUCAACAUACUUCAAAAACUC
rnacentral:lncRNA from 1 species